CUGACGGGCUGACACAGCACAGGAUUGUAUGGGCACGGGCCUCUUUGGCCAGACUGGGAGGGAGACUGAGAGAAACUGGAGGAGGUGACGCCCGGCAGCCAGACCGCCGGGUGUGUGUAGCGAUGAGUCUGGUCUUGCCCUGGGCGGGCACCGGUGCCCCACCACCCCUGUCCCACCCUGUCCACCCCCGGUCUCAGGAAACUCCAGCUGCAGCCCACAGGGCUAGGAGCCGCCUCCCCAGACUCCUGGCCAUCCAGACAAGACGCUCCCCAGCCACAGACAGUCCUAACCCAACUACCACGGGAGCCCCUGGCUCAGCCCGCGCUCAGCACCUCAACCCCCAGCCAGCGUGCUCGGAGGAGCCUGGGGCGCCCAAGCUUGUCUGUGGCGCUCCCUCGUGUGGACUCCUGCUGGGGGCCAGGCUGCGCCGGGGGAAGAAACUGGACCUUGAAAGGUCCAGGUGGCAUUUUGUGGACUGAGAUGGGGUGGUAGGAAGAGCCGGCCUGCCCUGAGGUGGGGCAGGGCUCUUGGGGACGCCCUGGUUGGGGGGUCCGGCUGCUCAGCCCGCAGGGGCCCAAGGAGACCCCACGUGGCCAGCCUUUGGAGCCCUGGGGACGCAACUUGGGGAGGAGGUGCAGGGGCAGCCUGAGUGCAGGUGGGAGGGAGGCUUGGGACCGACUCCUCCCCAGCAUUUCCCCAGCCCGGGGCCGCUGACUCACACCCACGCCCAGGGCCCCAUCCCAACCAGCUCUGUCACACUGGCUCUACUGGUUUGCCUGGCCCAGCCCUGCCUGCUGCACCCCCUCCCGCUCAGCCCUUUCCCCAGAGGCUUGGCGGGGAGGUCGACAGCCAGCACCGCCGGGGAGCAGGGUGGGCGCCCCGCAAGGGAGUGGCACCAGGGGGGUGGGGGGAGCAGUGUUAGGGGUUGGGUAGGGCGGGCAGAAGGUCCGCCCACCGGAGGCCUCUCCACACCUGGGCUCGCGAGCCUGGGCUUCGGGCCCCAGGUGCGGGGUGGUCCUGCCCGCGGGCGCUCGCCCUGCGGCGCCUCGCGGAGGCCGUGUUUGCUGCGAAGGCCGUGGCCCCGUCGUGGUGGCUUCGCGACACGGCUGCAGGCGGCCGCUCCUGCACAGCCGGGGCGCGGCCCCUCUUCCGGUGGCCCGUACAUGUCCGCAGCUCCACCGUGCUGACUGCCCCCCUGCCCCCGGGGAAGCCAGGAGAGAGGAGCCAGCCGGUGACGGGGCCCGCACCCCGGAGCGCCCCGAGGCCCCGACAGGUCUUGCCUCCUGCGGCCCAGACCCACAUCCAGGCGCACCCCAGCCCUCCCCUGGGUGUCCUCGAGCUCCACAGCGCAUCCAAAGCGCACACCCGUCACGGCCUUCCUCUCACGCGUCUGGUCUGCCGCGACUGCUCCCUGCUGAGCCUGUGCCCGAGCCCCCACCCCCAAGGACGGCUCUCUGUGCUCCGGCUUCCUUCACUCCCUCCCACCUUGCUGGCCGCUCACCCCGGCUCCGAACCGGCCUCUCCAUUCUGCUCGGUCUGGUGGCCACCAGCAGCCAGUGUCGCGUGCAAGUGUGAUCCUUCCCGGGGUGGUGCUGGCCUUACCCCCAGAUAAACUCCCAGCACCACCGGUCACCUUUGUACCUCCGACCCCCCCAAGGGCCAGGGUAAGGAGCCUGACCUUGUCCUGAGGACAGAGCCGGACCACAGGAGGCUUGCAGAGCCCUGACUGUCAAUUUUAUAGAAGUUGUAUGUGCCCAACGUAUGUAUCGGAAGGACGUCCAGUAGCAGGAGAUCUGGGCUCGGCAAGAGGCAGGAAUGAGGGAGUGGAGGACACGGGCAGGUCAGCCCCGGAAGAUGUCCCGUUAGGAUGUCCAGAGGCGGCGGCCGCUGCUGUGCUCUCGACUUUGCAGCUCCGCUGAGGAUUGUCUCUAAUUGUCCAUGUCCUGGCGUCUCUUUCUCAAGGCCCAGGCGCCUGGUGAGAAGUCCAGUCUGCCCUUAGGUCAUGCUCCCAUUGUCAGGCAAAGGAGGGACGGAUGUCUGUCACCCUUCCCCCAUUUUGGUUUCUGUAGUGGGAAGUGGGCUCCCACUGAAUUUUCUAGAACAGAACCCAGCCUUACAAGGUAGGGGUUCCGAGUCUUCAACAGGCCAGCGUCACGUGGAGAAGCUGCUUUCCCGCUCUGGGUCUGCUCCAAGAAGUCCAUCCAGAGAGCAUCUUCCCCAGCCUCCCGUCACCACCCGCGUUCUUGAUGAUCUGUCCAAACUGUCAGCCAGAGUGUAUGCAUUGAUAUAAAGAAGGUUAUUUGGUAGGACGGUAUCUGGUCUAGAUCAGCCUUGAUUAGAGGGCCUUGUGCUGUUGGUCCCACGUGUCACUAGCAUCCCUGCCACCACGGCCACUCUGUUCGUGGGCCUUUGCCUAAGCACUGGGUGGCCGAGGAGAAAGGCUGGCCAAUGUCCAUAGGGCAGUUGUGAUGUCUACCUGGGUGUCUGAUGCCUCCUCUGCAGUGGACCCUCUCUGGGGUCAUCACCGUGAGACGCAGAGCCAGCCCCGCACGCUCGUUGCCCGCAAACCUGGCCCCCGCUGCUGGUGCAUCCGCGUGCCUUUCCCUGGGCCUGCCUGUCGCUGUUGCUCCAGGCUUGUUCAUUUCAGGCUCCCAAUGCACCGGCCAAGCCCUUCGCUGUUGCCCUGCGCACCGCACGCCACUCUCCUUCCCAUCCACGGGAAGCUGAGAACCAGGCACCCCGGGAGAUUUCCCUCCUCCGCUGUCCUUUGGGACCUCCCGAGAGAGGAGCUGUGAUGUGGCAGUGGUCAGUUUGACUAGUGCCACCGUGUGGACUGAGCUCUGUGAAUCAAGCCCGAGUCCCUCCUCCACCACCUCCCCCAGGAAUGCCAUUGGCGUGGGCUGGGGUCCUGGGAAGCGGCACCGACCCUCCGCAGAGAGAGGAGUGUGGACAUCUUCCUCCCGCUGGAUGUGUCCUUUCUGUCGUAAAGGAUCGCUCUGUGUGUGCCCGACGCCUCAAGUCCGUGGAGCGAGGACCCCGGCUCAGGGUGGGGAAUUCAGGCUGCUUGUCCUCUGGUGCCCCAGUUGGACUUCCAGGCUCCACUGGGGCCGACAGCAUCCCGGGAGCUGUUCUCCAGACCUAGAACUGUGUUCUAGCAGGGAAGGCGCAGCCUUGCUCUGGAGCCUGAAGUCUGUGCCGCGGCCCUCCCACCGGGUUGGCCGGAGGUCCCACACAGCAUCCUUCUCCCCACAAAUACCUGCAGCUUAUCAGACCUGCUGGCCACCUGGCCCGGCAGCCUGGCAGCUCACGCCUCUGCCGUGGCCUCUGGGCUUGACCGUUAGCCCGGGUCUCCCAGGACGUGGGCGGGUGCUGUUCCCGGAUACGGCACUUGCUCCGGAGCCUUGAGAGGCCUGCCAAGCGCUGGGCCUCUUUCCUGGCGGAAGGAGGUCCAAGGCGUAGCAAUUUAUUUUUUCCUUUAAGGUGCCCUGGCGUGUCCCAGAUCUAUGAACCCUAAAAACUUCAUUAGCGUGGUUCUAUCUCCCACCCUCUGGAACUUCCUGGAUCAGUGAACUGUGGGGAUGACCCAGGUUCCUGUGUUAGUUCCCUGUAGCUGCUAAAAGAACAAUUAACGCACAUUUAGUGUCUUAUAACAGCGCGAAUUUAUUAUCUUGCAGGUCUGUGGGUUAGAAGUCCGACCUGGGCUUCAGUGGACUAAAAUCAAGGUCUCGGCAAGCCGGCCACCUUCCUGCAGGCUCUGGAGGGCCAUCUGUGUCUUCAUCUUCUUCAAGCUCCUAGAGGCGCCCACAUUCCUUGGCUGGUGGCUUCUUCCUCCAGCUUCAAAGUCAGCAACCUUCUUCCAAAGUCACAGCUCCCUCUGCUUCUCCGCUGUCCCCCUCUUCCACUUGUAAGGUCCCUUAUGAUCACGUUGCACCUACUCAGAUAAUCCCGGGGGGUUUCGCUAUCUUAAGGUCAGCCGAUUGGCAACCUUAGUUCCAUCUCCAAUCUUGAUUGCCUUUUGCCAUGUAACACAGUGUAUUCACCAGCUCCCGGGGACAGGACAAGGACGUCGUUAGGGGGCUGUCGUUCUGCCCACCGCAGUCCCUAUGAGCUAUAUUGUGACAGGAAGCCAGAGAGUAACCGUGGUCCUGAGACAGGACAGGGAAGGCCUGCUGCGUGGACGCUCUGCAGGCACGGACAGGAGGAGAAAGCUAUGGCCAGUCAGCCGUUACACGCCACAGUGCCAGAGGCUGUGUGGAUCUGCUGCAGUGGAGACGCCACUUCCAGCCUGGCAGCCCUGAUUGCUUCUGCUGCCUGCGUAAGUUUCCUGUCAUCCACCAUCUUCCACGGUUAUUUGUUUCUCGCAAAGGCCAGACAGACGAGUUUAAUGGAGAUGUGAUGGGCCCCUCCACACCUGUUUUCCUCAAAUCUUUUUUUUGUUGUUCUUUUUUUAAAAUUUAGGCUUUAUUUUUUUAGAGCAAAAUUGAGGGGAAGGCACAGAGCUUUCCCAUAGAUGCCCAGUCCCCACACACGCAUAGCCUCCCCCAUUAUCAGCAUCCCUCACCAGAGUGGGACACUGGUGACAAGUGGUGAGCCUACACAGACACCGUAAUCACCCGAAGUCCACAGUCUGCAUUAGGGAUCUCGGUGUCGUGCAUUUUAUGGAUUUGCACAAAUGUAUGACAUGUGUCCAUCACUGUGGUAUCGUACAGAGUAUUUUCACUGCCCUAAAAUUCCGCCGUGUUCUGUCUGUUCCUCCUACCCCCUUCAGUCCCUCACAGCCACCAAUCUUUUUAUUGUCUCCAUAGUUUUGCCUUUUCCAGAAUGUGAAAUUGUUGGAAUCAUACAGUAUUAUAGCCUUCUCAAAUUGGCUUCUUUCACUUAGUAAUCUGCAUUUAAGGUUCCUCCAUGUCUUUUUGUGUCUUGAUAGCUCAUUUCUUUUUAGUGCUAAAUAACAUUCCACUGCCUGGAUGGACCACGGUUUAUUUCUCUGUUCACCUACUGCAGGACAUCUUGGCUGCCUCCAAGUUUUGCCUCCAACUGUGAAUAGAGCUGCUGUAAACAUCUGCGGACAGGAUUUGAUGUGAACAUAAAAUUUCCACUCCUUUCAGUCAGGAGGGAGUGCGCUUGCUCCGCUCGCCUUGUUAACCUGGAGCUCGGGCACACCUGGUGUUGGUCCUGCAGCCGCGUGGACCGCAGCGAGGAGCGGAGCACUGUGAUCCGUAGCCCUCUCCCCACUAGCAGGGCCAACCGCGGCGGACCAAGCAGCCACCACCAUCCAGUGAGCCUUCCGGAAGCUCCUGGCGAGAAAGGAGCAGGCCUGCCGUGAGCAGGACCACCAGGACUACCUGGAGCUGAUGGAGAAGCUGCAGAGGCAGGUGGACGCGCUGCUGAACCGCGAGGGCGUGAGCUGCGACGCGGCGCGGGCGGCGCGGCGGCUGCAGCGGCGCCUGGCCCUCGUGGACUUCGAGGACAGCGACGGCGGGCGGGCAGUCCCUGGCCAUCCAGCUGCUAACCGAGCAGGGCGCCAGUCCUAACAGCAAGGUGGGCGCCGGGCGAGGACUGGGGGCCGCGCCUCGUCCGGGCGGGCCGUGCUCAGUGAGCGCGUCCAGCAGGGCGCCUUCGGCCGGACGCCGCUGUACCGAGCGGCCUUCGGGGGCCACCUGGAAGCCGUGGAGGUGCUUGUGAAGCUCGUAGCUGACCCCCGGGUGUAUGCGGACGACGGACGCACCCCCGAGCAGGUGCGCGGGCGUGGGCAGAAGGCCCCGGUGCGCUUGCUCCCCCACCCGCAAAGCUGUCAGAAGCCUGGGGGCCCCGCCCCGGCUGGUCCCGAACCUUCCAGGACCCAGAGCCUUUGCAGGCCCUUCCCCUCCCAAAGUACUCGCUAUGAGCCUUACCGGGCACACGCGAUCAAGACCACAGCUCCCGGUUUCUUGGGGCCUCCUGUGGCCGGGGUUCUACUCACGUCCCUGGGCCCUCAGCCCACCUUGGAAGCAGUGUUACCAUGGGAGGUGGAGAAACAGACUGGCUCCUCGGGAGCCAGCGCGGGAGCUCUGGGGCACUGAGGGCAGCGCUAGGACCGCCCACCUGGCCCCUCACUCAGAAUUUCCACGUCUCUGAGAAAAUUGAGCUCUAGGGCUUGGAGCCAUGACCCUGCCCAAGGCAGCUCAGCCUGGCAGCUCCUUCGUGGCCCGGGAACGAUGUCAAGGGGCCUUUUCACAGGCCCUGGGCCAGGCUGGGGACACGGGCGCCUGGACUUCUCCCCGGCCCAGGAGGCCAGGUCAGAUGAGGCUGACCCAGGGCCUGUGGGAGCAGCCGUGAAGCCAGAUCACCUAAUGCCACGGCCUUAAUUUCUUCAAAUGAGUCUGACUGGAAUCUCAGGCCCUCGCCCAUCUCAGCCGUGUGUCCUUCCACCCCAGUCUGUAGAGCUGAGGUGUUGGCUGGAAAAUGUGGGACUGGCCCGGGUCUGCUGCUGAGCCCCUGCUUCCACCCGUGGGGUGCCAGGGCCUUUGCCGCCUGGGGACCCCGUGUCCUGGGCGCCACCUUCACCCCCAGCUGCCUCCUCAGGGUGCUGCUCCAGGCUCCCCCUUGUCCUGGAAGGCAUCCCCUCUGCUCUUCUUGGCUUCUCCUUUUUAAUAAGCAACAAGCCAAGCUUGAAAAGACCAGCAGAACCUCUGGCUUCAAACUCCUCCUGCUUCCUCCUCAAAGGAGCAAAAUGUGAGGCUAGGAGGACCGAAGGGCCUGGCCAUGGCCUCAGAGGGGCUGGAGCGAGGAGGGGCACAGGGAGGCCCACCUCUCCGCGGGCCGUGUUGGGGCAGGCCCGGGCGGUGGGCACAGGGCAUGAAGGCUGGAGAAGCAUGCAGGCGGCCUUCUGAGGGGUGCUGAGGAGGAUGUCCAGCCCGCCGGUGCCUGAGGGUGGGGCAGGGGGCACUGAGACGAGCAGUACCCUGGUGGGAGGGGGGAGGCCACUGGCUGCAGGAGGGACAGUCUGGUGCUGGAGCAAUUGGACGUCCACAAGCGAAGGAAUGAACCUUCACCUAAACCUCACCCUAUAUAAAAUGAACUCAAAAUGGAUUAGUAUUUAAAUGUAAACUGUAAAACCUUUAGAAGAACACAGGAGAAAAUCUUUGGGACCUAUGGCUUGGUAAAGGGUUCUUAGACAAAAAGCACAAUCAAUCGAUAAAAGAAA